AUAUAUAUUUUAUAUUGCCUCAUUUUUCAUUGCAUUACUCUAUUCUCUUUGAGAUCUCUCUUAUGUAUUACUAUGUGCUUACAUCUGCCGGGCAUGUGCGGAGGACUUUUGGAUGCAACGCAACAUCACAGGAAGGACUAGAGUGACGCAGCGUUCCAGACGUGAGCCUGACGACGGGUACCUGGAAGACAGCGAAAACCGAAACCGCCUCAUUGGAAAUAGCCAGAAAUGACAUCACAUCAACACUAAUGGCUGGAAGUGAAGCACACCUGUUCGGACGUAUACUGUAUGUAUACCACAAUGAUGGAGGGAGUUGGACAGCGCUGGAAGAAGGCUGAGAAUAGGCAAAAAGCGUCUGCUGCAUAUUUAUUCUUGCUCUACUAUUUCUACCUGACUCCUAGGUUAUUUUAUUUAGGGGGUAAGGACUUAUUUAUUUUACUAACCAUCCUAUAAGUACCCAGUGAGGUCUCUAUAUACAUAAAUAUAUAUAACUAUAUAAAAAAAAAAAAUAUAUAUAUAUAUAUAUAAUAUAUAUAAAUUUAAUCUCCUUAUGUAUAUUUUAUCUUAAUAAAUUUUUGUGUGGAACUACCUGCAUUCCUUAUCCUUGAGAUCUGCAUCAUUUAGCUCUUAGAGGCACCUUUGAGCCAUUUAUACAGAGCCUGAUACAGCUCUGAAUCAUGUGAGUGAGAGUCCUAGUUUUAUUCCAUCCACAUUUGUGUAUACAGUUCAUACUGUGUUUCUUUUCCAUCUAUCUUUUAGACAUUGUACUACUACCAUUGAUUUGUUUCAAUGUAUGUAUUGAUUUCCUGUGUUACACCUAUCCACUGCAUGCACCUUCUACUGGUAUAUUUCACUUUAUUUAUUUAUAUGUUUUUAUGAGUGUUGUGGAGCACUUUUAUAUACCAGUUUUUGCACGUUCCUGGCACUAUUUUAGGGAAGCUCCUCACACACUGUUACCUUUGCUAGAUACGUAUAUUUAUUUGCCAUCUUUGAAAUAUGUUGUUUCCCUCUAACUCCACUUUCUGUUUAUGUAUUCACGGUUCUUUUAACUUCUAUAAAAACUUAACUUAUGUUCUCAAAAAUAACAUUUUUUGUGACACAGUCUCUGUUACGCUUAGUAAUAUAUUUUCUUGACCUUUUCAAGACCUUAAUGCCUGAACAGUUCUGUACUUCUGCAAAUUUAAUGCACUGUAUAUAUUAACACAAAUAUCUAACGCUAAAAAAACAAAACCAUUUCCUCUUAUCUUCAACUUAUACAUUUUUUACAUUACUCUUUAAACAUAAAUGAUAAAAAAUAAUAUUUCUAAGUCAAUGUGCUUCCGAAGUGCGAUAAUCAAUUGCCAAUUUUUCUGCAUUCCUUUUAAAAACUGCAGUGACUACUAAGUAAUGUACUUUUGAACUUUGCGUGUUCCCACCAAACUAUAUGCCUCAAAUUAUUGUAUAAAGUACAUUUAGCUAAAUCUUUGAACAAUGUUAAAUUGGAUAAAAAGAAAUUUAAAAUAUAAACUAAAUGCGGCAGCUUUAAAUAUACAAACUUAUAAUACAUCACAGCAGUCAUUUAUUUUAACAUAGGGAUUUUCAUCAUAAAACUGAUCAAAUGCAACAUUUUUUACAGCUAAUAAACUCCUCACAGUGUGGAGCGUCUUAUUAAACCGCGCCAGUCUAAAAUUAGAACCCAUUUCGACGAGCAGUACCUCUUGUAGGGUCUUUGUGUGAUUAAAUGAUAAAAGCUUUAGAGUUAAUGGAAAAUAUAAAUCAUUGCAAUCUCAAUAACAGGACUUUGUCUCCCAAAUCAUUUCACUUUCAUCACAUAUUUCCUUAUCACAAUUAGCGGUAGGACAAAUGAGUCAGAGUUUUGCAUACUGAGGAAUCUUUGCAGAGCUCAGAACUGCAGGGAGUAAUGUAGGGUAAAUAAAGCAACAAUUCAUGGCCCCUGUUGAGGACCUGACAGUAUUCUCUGUAAUGAACACGGUCCUUCAAUGGGGUUUUACAGAGCUGUUUACAUGUCAGCAGUCUAUCUCACCACUAUUGUACCCUGGUAUUGCUUCAAAUCUAUGAUUGCUUUGCUAUUCAACCAUAACAAGACACAUAAAGUGAUUGUGCUUUUUAAAAACAUUGGCCUAGAUUUACCCUCUAGAAAAUAAGAUUUAGCAAUAUUUUUGAUUCUGAGUUAAAAAAAAAAUUGAGCGUGGUAUUUGUAACGUGUUUAAAAUCCAAUGGCAAAAUGGGGAAAAAAACAAAUAGGAGCUUAUUUAUUAAACCGCGAAUUGUAGUGAUGUUAAAACUGAAUUUACUAAAUCUGAGAGGAAGAAUUUUUUCAACUUUCCUUUUUUUUUUCAAAGUUUUUCGCUUAACUACAUUUUGCUGUUUAGUAAAUAACCUGAUACAAUUUACCAGUAACUAUGAAACUACUGGAUAAUUGUGUCAUGUUAUUUAAUACACACAGUCUAGUAGACUGAAAGAGAUAGCCAAACUGGAAAAGAGUAUUGAAGCACAAUUUGUGAUACAGCGCAUGUUCUUUCCAGGUCAGGGUAAAGAUUAGUACUUUAUAGGGUUGCAAUAUUCACUAUAUUUUCUUGACCAUGUAUCACUUCUUUAUAUUGAUGGUCUUAACAUGAAAAGUGAUGUCCUGUAGUAAAUGCAAUGUAUAUGUUAUAAUAUAUGAUUUUGUUUUUCGAUUUUUAAGGUGCUGCCCAUCAAUGUAUAUGUGUCCAGGAAAGAAUAAUAGACCUGCAAUCCACAGAUAUAUACAUUUAAUUCAACUUCCAUAUUAUCCAAAGCUGGGAGGUAUGGACAGGAGUGGAAUGCAAGCAAUGAAACACAUGUCACUGUCGAUGCCCAUAAUGGACAAUCCCAUCUGCAUAGAAGUGGUGUUGCCUACAGAAGGGGCAUGUCAGCCUGACUUACUACCAACCUCCUGCCAGCCCCGCUCAAGGCAGAAUAUGAAGAGAGCACUGUUGAAGCACCCUUCGCCCUACUUGAGUGUACCUAAUUAAGCACUUGUGCUGUGCUGGCUGGGGAAUAGCUCCCUGGUUUUACCAGGGAACAAAAUCAGGGUGGUGGGUCAUUACCCCAAAAUCAAGACUUUCCCAUCCAAACAGGGAUAUGUGGGUUAAUUAGUAGUAUAUUGACCACCAAAUUGCAAUAUUUAAACUAUUAUAUAGCUUGGAAACCCUCUCCAGCUUUAACUGUUAUGACUUGUAUUUUGUACUUGCUAGUGAAAGAGUCUGUCUGCGUUCAGUGAGUUACUCCCUUGAACGCUUUCUGUACAGACAAACAAAAACCCCUUCACUUUUUUGUGCUAUAGACUAUGGCACGGUAAAAAUAGUUAACGUUUAUUUCAGACUUAAAAUGUUUUGAUUUUUGAAGAACAACAUGAAAACAUUUUUUUUUCCAAUGAGGCUGUCAAAUUGAAAUAGUUGAG